GAUGAACGCUGGCGGCGUGCCUAAUACAUGCAAGUCGAGCGAACGGACGAGAAGCUUGCUUCUCUGAUGUUAGCGGCGGACGGGUGAGUAACACGUGGAUAACCUACCUAUAAGACUGGGAUAACUUCGGGAAACCGGAGCUAAUACCGGAUAAUAUUUUGAACCGCAUGGUUCAAAAGUGAAAGACGGUCUUGCUGUCACUUAUAGAUGGAUCCGCGCUGCAUUAGCUAGUUGGUAAGGUAACGGCUUACCAAGGCAACGAUGCAUAGCCGACCUGAGAGGGUGAUCGGCCACACUGGAACUGAGACACGGUCCAGACUCCUACGGGAGGCAGCAGUAGGGAAUCUUCCGCAAUGGGCGAAAGCCUGACGGAGCAACGCCGCGUGAGUGAUGAAGGUCUUCGGAUCGUAAAACUCUGCUAUUAGGGAAGAACAUAUGUGUAGUAACUGUGCACAUCUUGACGGUACCUAAUCAGAAAGCCACGGCUAACUACGUG
rnacentral:rRNA from 1 species